rnacentral:rRNA from 1 species
UACAGAGGGUGCGAGCGUUAAUCGGAAUUACUGGGCGUAAAGCGUGCGUAGACGGUUUCGUAAGUCGGGUGUGAAAGCCCCGGGCUCAACCUGGGAAUUGCAUUUGAGACUGCGUAGCUAGGGUGCGGAAGAGGGAAGCGGAAUUUCCGGUGUAGCGGUGAAAUGCGUAGAUAUCGGAAGGAACACCAGUGGCGAAAGCGGCUUCCUGGUCCAGCACCGACGUUCAGGCACGAAAGCGUGGGGAGCAAACAGG